AGACCUGCUACAAAACAGUGCAAAACGACAUCAGCAGGAAGCAAGAUAGAAACAGCAGCGUGAACGUGUAACACUCACAAGCCAAACUGCAUAACAAGCCAAAAUUCAAGCUGCAAACGAAGCGAGGCCAAAGCGCUGCAACGCGAAGCCAAAAACGGUAAUACAAAAGUGUAAGCGACUCCAAAAAAAUCCAAACGCAGCUUGAUAAGCAGAAUUCAUAAACGGCAACCGAAUUGACCAAACGCAGAUUUUUUUUUAAUAAAUAGAGAAGCUUAUCAGUUGAAUCUCUCCUCUUCUUUGGCAACAUUCUGAAAAGAUCAACAUCGCCGUCGUGCUUCAAUAACCGGCGAAGUUCAGCUUCGCAUCCAAUAUCCACCGCACAUGCCCAUUCUCGUGUAGCGUACAAGCCGAGCCACCAUGAGAGAAUAUACAAAACGAAUCGCAAGUAAAUUCGUAACCGAAAUCGAUCGCCGAAACGAAUCGAAUGGGAGAAGAUUGAACGAGAAGGGAAGCGCUUGAGUUCGGAAUCGAUGCUGCCUUCGUCGUCGCGGACCCUUGCAAGAGGCCUUGGACAAAUAUUCAACCCUAACAUGAAAGGAGCAUUCAAGACUCAAGACUUGUAAUCUUUUAUACGCUUUCUAGUUUAGGACACAAUUGCACACACACGGCUUUCUCUUGGGCUACCUGACAAUGAGACCUUUUAUUUCCUGCACUCCCUUGUACUACAUGUACCCCCUCCCCUUUACGAUGUAUGCUUUUACUUGCUUUGUCUUUUAUUGCUUUAUAGUUACUCCUUA